rnacentral:lncRNA from 1 species
AAGAAAUCAUGCCUAAUAAUAUGGUAACUUGAUCUAUGAUAUAAAAACAAUGUAAUUUAGAACUUGCUGUGCAAAUAUAUGAAAAUCCCAUGCUUUUUGUAGAAAAAGACACUGACUUUCAUUUUAUUUUCUUUUCUAAUAAGAUAAAUAAAGAUAAAGAGACAAAAUUUCAGUACAAUAAGUGAUGAACGGAACAUAACAACUACAGAUCAUGCAAAACACCAUGUUCACUUCAUCUUUUAUGGAAAACAUUGUUAAUCUAGAUGUACAGUGAAGAGGAACAAAGAACAGUGCAAUUACAUGAUUUAAUACAGUUAAAACACUUUUAUUUAAUAACUCCCAGAAAAAAAAGAAUGAAAAUUUUAUAUAACUUGACCUGCUUGGAGAUAAAGACGCAAACUUCAAAAUCGGCAAAAAACCGACAGUAAAACAAAAACCAAAUUAAGAAACCAAAAAUCCAAUAAUCAUCAAAAGUCUAAGCAGCAAUCACAGACCACAAGAAUUUAUGGACUGGUUUGGGAGAACUAUCCCUAAUUGAACUUACAAAAAAGUUUAGCGAGACCGACAAAAAAUCGAUUUGAGGUCUUUGCUUUACUUCGUCGGAUAAUCUUCACAAAGAGUAAAGAAACACAUAAAUUAGUAGAAUUAGUACAUGUGCACCUGCAAGGAUAUGAAGGUCUGAACAUCGUUCUUGCCUAUAUUUGGUACAGUUUGCAGAAGAGGUGUUUUGUCUCGAAAUUUAGCAAAGAAGCCAAUCCGGAACAUUAUCAUGGGAAAGAAACUUAAACGGUGCAACGCUUGGGAAUUUUGAAGGAGGGCCAGAUUGUGUUGAGUUGUCCCACAUCGGAGGAAUUUGAGGUUCUUGAUUUGUUUAUAUGGCUUGGGCAUUCCUCACCUCAUAAGCUAGUUUUUGGGGUUGAGUUAGGCCCAAGUUCCAUUCUUUUCAUGGUAUCAGAGCCAGGCCCAUCUCAUUUAUUGUUAUCGAUGUUGGGCCCCCAUUUAUAUUGUACACGCUCCAGAGAUCUGGGCGUGAGGGGGAUGUUGAGUUGUCCCACAUCGGAGGGAUUUG